rnacentral:lncRNA from 1 species
AUAGUGUUUGGCUUCUCUUGGCCACUGGAUGAUAUGUCAGAAAGAGGAUCAUCUCCUUCUGCACCAUGGUUGACACAGAUAACUGAAACUGUGGAAAGAAAACCUGCAGGGAAGACUAUUAUAUCACCAAUAACUUGCUGGGAAAUACAGCCCAAAGUCAAGGUGGAGGAGGUGAAGACAAAUGUUGGAAAUGAACAACCAGUAGUUUUCAUGUCCUGCAGAGAAGGUGGGCCCCAGAGCACAUAUCAUGUGGUGAGAUGGAAAGCUCAGAAAAUGGUCCACAACCAUCCUGUCCAGUAGUGCAGAAACCUGAGAAUCAUCCUCACUGACCAGGCCUCUCUCAUCUGGCCUUCCAGCCAGAAAUCUGUUCAACAUUGAAUGAAUGAGAAGAACCACUAGAUAGAAUAAGUAAUACCCAUGACAAAAUCAUUCUGUCUUUACGUAGUACUCGGCAGGGC